GCCUCACACCGGGUGGGACGGGAGGCAGAAAGUAUCCAGCCACCUGGCAGCAGUGAGCAGGCCCAGGGGCCAAAGCUCUCACCUCUCCUCCCUGAUAAAGGCCACCGGGAUCUGCAUGAGUGCACCCAGCCCUCGCCUCUUUCUGCUAAAGCAAAGAAUACUAAAGCGGAGAAUUGCAGCAGCAGUGACAGGGAAUGGGAGCUGGUGGUAUGUGUAUCACAGAGUCACCCUUUGCUCUCAUUCUAGCCAUACCAGAGGCCUCUGAUUGCCCCAAGUGGAGGCCCAGAUCUUGCCCUCUCUCUUGUAUACGACCAAACUCCGUCUUCUUUCAUCCCUAUUGCCUCCCUGGGUGUGUUUUUUUUUUUUUUCUCCAGUUGGAUGAGAAAAGCUGCUCCACCUCCAGCGAUCCCCCAGACUCUGUACUAUAUGAUACUGGGUAUUGUUGUAAAGAAUCUGUAGGUUGGAACAGCCAGCUUCACCCCUAAGGCUCAGUUUCUCUUUACCAUCUGAAAUGGAGUGGUAGCAGACUGCUGAGAUCUGAGAAACACUAUAUACCGUUCUUUAUUGGGCCAGUGAUAAGGUGUUGGGAUUCUGCUCACACCUGUGAGCCUAUUGUUCAGGGCCGCUAUGGCAUUUCACCUGCAACAGACAAGCUCAGUCUCUAAGUGGGUUAACACCUCCUAGCUGAAGAACCACCCAUUGUCUGCAUCUCUACAAAAGAAGAGGAAAAGCAACUGUGGGAGCAUGAAAAUAAACUCUGUUUGUAAGUGUGACACGUGUGCAGCUUGAGCUUGGCACGGCAUCCGUGUUCAGCCUGGCUGAGCACAACUUGUUUGAAUGUCAUAUUUAUCCCUGUGUUUUGUCAGAAAAUUAACUUCCUGUGAGUUUGCGGCAGAGCCGAGCAUAUGGCCGCAGCUCUCUGGAGAUGACAGCCUAGCGGAGCGGGAGCUCGCCGGUGCCGCUGCCCUGCUCUGGCGGCAGAUGCUCCGGGCUUCUCCGCGAUUAAGUGGAGAUCAUCACUGUUUUCUUUGAGCACCGCUGUGCCUUGUACUCUGAAGUGUUCCGUUAAUCACUGCCUGCCUCCCUGCCUUUUCCCCACAAGCUGCCAAAGCACUCAUUAAGUUUGAAUCUCCCCACCACUCGCUUGCUCACCAGCUCGCUACAUUGCGUGACAGAAUCUUAGCAGUCACCCUUUCUGCAGGAGCGCAGUGGCUUGUUGCACCUGUUUGCUAGAGGGAUCAUAAAAGUGCACGCUUGUUUGAAUGGUGUGAUUCCAUCUCUAAACCUCUCCUGCUGUUCAUUCAUUUUUAAGGCAUUGUGUACAUACUGUAAAAUAAGUGUUGCUCUUUGAACGUUUGCUCAGGUCUGUGAAUUUCGCUAAUGUAGUCUGCGUUUGAGUUUCUCCCCUUGCUCUCAGAUGCUGCCUUGUUUCCAGUACAGGCCUCUGAGGGGAGUGAAGCCUUUUCUACACUUGUGUUUUUUUUCUGAUGGUGAUGUCUCCUCCUCCUUCUGUCUGCAUGUUAUUAGGAAAUUCUGCUACUCAUAUUUACAUUUGUGAAACAUUACUACGUUAUUGCGUGCAUGUGUGUGUGUGUGUGUAUGUGUGUGUGUUUUCAUGGAGUUAGAAUGCAGACCGGUAAGACACAACUUUGGUCAAAGAGAAACAAAAAAAGAUGGAAAUGUAGUCUUCGUUAGGCCCCCACCCUACUCCUCCCCCCAGUCCCAGUAUCACACAUCCAGUUGUGUUGUGUACAUCUCCUACACAAGCAACCAUCCAUUGUUAUUGUUAAACAUUGUGACAUGCUUUAACCCUGAUUGAUCUUGAUCUCCGACACAAAUAAUAAUGUGAUUACAGGCUUUUCUCUGCUUCUCUCUUCACAGCAGUGGAAAAUAACAUUAGAUAUUUCCUUUCAUGUUAAUCGCCUUGGUUGGAAGUAUACCUCGGUGCACCAAUAGGCCUCAGUAAUGCCUCCUUUCUUCUAAAAAAAAAAACCCCUCCAAAAUAACCUAUUUGCUGCACACCCACACACACAUACACACACACACUGCUUAGCUCUGUAACACCGGUAUUCUGCACCCAUCAAAGCCUGGCUUGCUUGUCCUGGUGCAGUGAUCAUUCCCCUCACAAUAGCGGGAUGGCAUUACUGUGCUUUUGAAAGCAUUUGCAUGGCAAAGCAAUAACAUGCACCUUGGAAAUAAAGGAAUUGAUCCUGUUCAUCGCAGGUUGGAUUUCCUGGAUAAAGCUGUGGGAAAUGGAUCCCUCCACCAUCUCACUUUGAAAUACAGACCCCGCUUCCUCAUCCUCAAGUUUACUUUGCAGUAACUGUCUGCUUCUUAAUCUUGUCUGUCAGGCAGACGCACAAAAAUGUAUGCGAUUCUGUCUGCCGCAGUGGUUACUUGGCACACACGCUGAUUAGUGCCAGUUUGCCUCUUUUUCAGUAUGUAGAUACCCAGAUAGGAAGCUGGCCCUAUUCAUUGAGUCCAAGUACCAAAAUAGCAAUUGCUGUUCUCAAUCAACUAUGAAGAAAUUGGUUUGCAUUGUUGGAAGAUGUUGAUUAGUGACUUUUUGGAGAAGCUCUUAAAAUUACUCUCAAAGCAGGCUGAGUUGACAGACAGUUGGCUCAAUAUUCAUUUUACAGGGUGAGGUCAGCAAUAAAGAAUGUUUUUAUUUGUUUGUGAUAGUUCAUACUGCAUGGGUGCCACGGGUUUGUACCCUCUGGGCCUGUUUAUUGUUAUUCUACACAAUAAAUGUUUAUCUCAUCUGCUCAGAAUCAAA